AGUCCCGCCGAGAGCCGCACUGAAGAGCCCCAGCCUGGCCGUCCCGCGGUUUCCCGCCGCCUCACCAGUCUCGGGCGGGAGGGGCCCCGGCGCUGGCGUGGCCGCGGCUCCCACAACGCAGCCAGGACUGCACUCGGGGCUGCUGGGGCCCGCGUGCGUCCCGGGCGGCUCCACGCGUCGGGGUCGCCCCCGCGCCUCCCACCCCCGGCCUCUCGGGGCCGCCGGCUCGCGCGCCUUCCAGGCGAAGGCCAGAGGCCGCAGUGAGGGGCACCGAGUGGCGGGCUCCUCCGCACCACCCCCGGGCUUUAUAAUAAAAGUCGCCGUUGUUUAAGAGCCAGGUCGGAGGCGCCGCUUUCUGGGCGGUGAAAGCCGAAGCGAGAGCGGGCAAUUCGCUGCGGCGGCGGCCGCUUCCUGGGCGUCGGUCCAGUGCCCCGGCCCGGCCUGGGAGACCCGCACCAACCCCGGGAGGGAGGACGGGGCGCGGGCGCAGCCUAGGGGCCGAAGCACUGCACGCACGGCCGGCGCGGGGGCAGAGGGGAGACAGGGAAGCCUGAGCUCCGCGCUGCUGAAGGCUCCGGGGAUGGGUGGGCGGCGGUGAGGUAGUCUUGCCCGGGCCCUGCCCGCGUGGGCGCUUUCUGAGUCUCUGUCGCGUGACGGAGGCGGGACCUAGGCUGUGUCUCCUGCGGGGCGAAAGCACGGAAGAGAUCCGAGGGCAUUUCUUGAGCCUGGCAGGAGGCCAGGGGUUUUACAGGGCAGGAAGGAACCUGGAGGAACCGAGGAGCCACGUUGUUGGUUGGAAAGAAGGGUGGCCAGGUGGGGAGGAGUCUGGCAAAGGGUCCCAGACAGCAGGAAGGGCACCUGUGAAGCCGCCCUGCCGAGUGUGUGGUAGAGGCGGGGUGAAAUGAGCACUGCUCAUAAAAGUGACUGUUGUGAUUUUUUAUGAGAUGGAGUCUCGCUCUGUCGCCCAGGCUGGAGUGCAGGGGAGCAACCUCGGCUCACUGCAACCUCCGCCUCCCGGGUUCACGCCAUUCUCCUGCCUCGGCCUCCCCAGUAGCUAAGAUUACAAGGCGCCCGCCACCACGCCCGGCUAAUUUUUUUGUAGUUUUAGUAGAGACGGGGUUUUGCCAUGUUGGCCAGGCUGGUCUCAAACUCCUGAGCUCAAGUGAUCCGCCCCUCUCGGCCUCCCAAAGUGCUGGGAUUACAUGCGUGAGCCCCCAGCCUAAAAGUGACUGUUUACUACAAUAAGUACAAAUAAUAGGUGACCAGCACUUGUCUGCUGAGGCCCUGGGGCUGGGUGUGUUUAGGGGACCCCUCUCCUCUCCAGGCCCUCCCCAAGCCUGCCCACUGAUGGGGAAGCUGCAGGGCUAUCCCUCCAAGGGGAGGCCCUGCCAGGCCAGGGAAGGUCCAAGUGGGUGCUCACCAAGCUUCCUAGGUUCCCAGUUUUCUUGAAACCAUCUUCCCAGCACAGUCAUCUCCCGUGGUUGCCUUUAGCAAGUCACAUCCCCUGACUCUUUAACAUCUCGGUCCUGGCAGUUUCUUGGUAUGGCACCAUCUCCCUAUGUGGACCACAGGUUAUCUAUCACACUGACCCGCUGUCCCUCACACACAGUCACUCACCUGUGACACUUGGAAAGGACUAGCUCCACAGGCCUGGCCAGGGCCCAAAGGGAGGUGGCCAGCAAUCGAAAUCAACCCUGAUGACUAAGUAGAAAAGGAGUCCUUGGGAGUAUUGUGGGGAGCUCAGGGAGCUGACCAGGAGUCUGGAUGGCCACAGCCACAGCCGGGGACAGUCUUGGGAGGUGACUGUGGUCACCACCACUACUGGGCUGCAGCAUCGCUGAAUGCAGCCCCUGCCACAACUCCACAGGCAUUGGCUGAGCGGUGUGCGGAUGCUGAUCAGCCCACCGAAUGCUCACCACUGAGGGGCUGCAGCGGCCAGGUGUGAGGGGAAGAGACUGCAGAGAGGUGACAAGGCCGUCAAAGGAGAGGAGCCACCACUGGGGAGCCUGGUGGCUCAGGAAGGCAGCUGGUGUGGGUGUGGGAGAGUCGGAUCAGAAGGCCAGCACUGCUCAUCAUGGAGCACCUGGGAGAGCAGCAGCGACUCAGCUCCUGGCACCAGGGCAUACCCGAAGUAACCAAUGAAUCCUCUAGGGGGUAUUUAAACUCCCCCAAAUUCUGUAACAGGGCCUUUUGAAUCCUACACUCAGGCCCAUUCCCACACAGUGGAGUGUACUUUCAUUUUCAAUAAAAUCUUCAUUCCUUCCUUGCUUUGUUUGUGUGUCUCUUCCAAUUCUUUGUUCAAGAUGCCAAGAACCUGGACACUCUCCACCUUUAACACAGGGGUUGUUUAAUUUACCUUUUGCCUUAGAAAUAUAAAAAGAUACACAGUAAAGGUGUGUAAAAGGAAAGGCCUCUUUCACCCUUACCCCACCCCCAUCCCUCCCUAAAGGUCCCUGUGAUUAGCUUGGUGUGUGUCCAGCCCUCCCUCUGCAUUUCACACGGAUAUGCGAACAGUGGAUCAGGCUUGGGUUUGUUUCUUCCAAUAAACGGCAUCAUGCGGUAUGUAUUGUUCUUUAAUGUGCUUUUGGAGACGUUUCCAAUCCAGCAAACCCUUUUAUCCAUUUCAUAAUAUUCCGUAGAAUGCAUGCUCCCCAUCUUGAGGGAAGUUUGGGUUGUUUCAUUCUGCUUUGUUAGGACGAAUGCCUGCUUUUGUGCACACAGUUGAGUAUGGGGCUGGGAUUUGAGGGGAAGAGGCUCUGUUUGAGUCCCUGUUGAUGUGAGGUGAAGGUGUGUUGGUCCGGCACUAAGCAGGCAGUGGACAAUACAUGCUGAGCUGGGUUGGGAGUGGACUCUUGGGAUUCGGGACUCAAAAAUAAUGUACGGCCAGGUAAAUUGCUGGUUUUGCUUCUGGGUCACAGGAAGGGCUGCGGUCCCCGCAGACCCAGAUGCGUCCACUAGAUGGCGCCAAAGCCAGUAAGGUGAGGCGCUUGUGACAGAAGCCCCGACUUGCUGCAGGAGUCUGGGCCCAGGGUCUGACUCCUGAGCUCCUAGGAGAUGGAUGAAUAUUCUUCCUGCACCGCCAGCUGCCUCGCUUAAACGUGGGGAGGCUGAAGAGGGUGCAAAGCUGGGUGAACAUGAGUGAUUAGACAGGAUGUGCCCUGGCCAAGACAGGGAGCUGAAAUUCAGUCUGUGGAACAGGCUGUGAUGGCCCAGAGGAAAUCCAUAGGUGGGAGGAAAACUAUGGACCCUGUGCUCCAUAUUGCCAGGACCUGCAGAGGAACUAGCUCCUGCAGAAGAUGCAGGAUUUGGACGGGAAGAUUGGGCAAGGGUUCUGUCUACUGGGCACUGAAGGUUUGAUGGGGACACUGGGAUGGUCCCUGCCACCAAAGCAGCUCAAGCUCAGGCAGAGGAAAUAGAAACUGGACAAAUGCAGUAUUUCUUAUGGGCACUGCUCUAAGGAGUAAUUUGGAAUCCAGUAGGGUGAUGUAAGUGAAGGUGCUUUGAAACCUCCCAAAGCUCUCGCCCAGGUAAGGAGGUUUGUGGUCCUUGUCACCAUUUACCCAGGAAAGCUUCAAAGCAGCAGCGGCGGCGGCGGCGGCGGCGGCGGCAGCAGAAUUUCCCUCCUUCCCUCCUGUUACUCUCCCAGCCUCCUCUCCCUCCUAUCACUCUCCUAAGUUCAGAGCUGACCCCACUCCUCUGCUACCCAUGGUGGUAGCCAGGCCUGUGCCUCUCCUAGCAUCAGAAGCUGCCCCAGGCUCCCAGGACUGGAGCUCAGAUCUGAUUUUGAAAAACUGAAUGAAUGGGUGAGAGCGGUGGCUUAUGCCUGUACUCCCAGCAUUUUGGAAGAUUGAGGUGGGUGAAUUGCUUGAGCUCAGGAGUUCAAGACCAGCCUGGGCAACAUGGUGAAACCCUGUCUUUACAAAAAAAUACAAAAAUUAGCUGGACAUGGUGGCACACACCUGUAGUCCCAGCUACCUGGGAGGCUGAGGUAGGAGGAUUGCUUGAACCACGGGAGACAGAGGUCGCAGUGAGCCAAGAUUGUGCCACUUUACUCCAGCCUGGAUGACAGAGCGAGAUUGUCUCAAAAAAAAAAAAAAAAAGAAAAAAGAAAAAAAAAAAGCCGGGCACGGUGGCUUAUGCCUGUAAUCCCAGGACUUUGGGAGGCCAAGGCGGGUGGGUCACGAGGUCACGAGAUCGAGACCAUCCUGGCUAACACAG
rnacentral:lncRNA from 10 species